UACGUAGGGACCAAGCGUUGUUCGGAUUUACUGGGCGAAAGGGCGCGUAGGCGGCAAUUCAAGUCAUCUGUGAAAUCUCCGGGCUUAACCCGGAACGGUCAGAUGAUACUGCUUUGCUAGAAGUGCGGGAAGGGGCAAUCGGAAUUCUUGGUGUAGCGGUGAAAUGCGUAGAUAUCAAGAGGAACACCUGAGGUGAAGACGGGUUGCUGGGCCGACACUGACGCUGAUAGCGCGAAAGCCAGGGGAGCAAACGGG
rnacentral:rRNA from 1 species